GUAAACCGGAGCCUGCUGUCUGAAGGAGUGCGUGUUGGGAUUAACCUGCUGCCAAAUGGCUUCACCGUGUCUUCUGCAGGGCCUCCUGCAGCCCUGUCGGACGGCUCUCCCCAAAGCUGAAGAGGAAAGGUUAACGCUGAGGUGGUGUUCUCCCCGCCAGGCUCCUUCCCGCUUUGCUGUAAGGUCCCUCAAGGAUGGCAUGUAUUUCAUCUCUCCCCUCCUGGCCGUUCCCAGCAGUCGGAGAGGAGUUCAUCCUUCUAUGCCAGAUCUUAAACCAUGUGUGGGGAGUUCAAAUGUAUCGCCUAGCAGCAUCCGAGAGAAUCCUAACCGCUCAGAGCGUUGUUUCUGCACCUUGCUGGUGGCACUGGAGGUCUUCCCCUGCAGACCGGAUCCCAGGGAGCGUUCCCGUCCUGCACCUCUGGCUGUCAGUGUCAAGAUGAUGGAUGGAAAGGCUUGCGGGCAGCUCGAAGCGUGCAAGGUUUGGAGAAGCGGGAGAGCGUUCCAAGGGCAUUCUCCUAGCUGAAGGCGAGACCCCGCUGGGCUGCUAUGCUCCAACGCCUCGCAGGGGAGACGUGUCCGUCUGUCCCGGCUUCUGUCCCCCCAGCC